rnacentral:rRNA from 1 species
AUUGAACGCUGGCGGAAUGCUUUACACAUGCAAGUCGAGCGGCAGCGCGGGGCAACCUGGCGGCGAGCGGCGAACGGGUGAGUAAUGCAUCGGAACAUGUCCAUGUCGUGGGGGAUAGCCCGGCGAAAGCCGGAUUAAUACCGCAUACGCCCGAGAGGGGAAAGUGGGGGACCGCAAGGCCUCACGCGAUUGGGUUGGCCGAUGUCCGAUUAGCUAGUUGGCGGGGUAAGAGCCCACCAAGGCGAUGAUCGGUAGCUGGUCUGAGAGGAUGAUCAGCCACACUGGGACUGAGACACGGCCCAGACUCCUACGGGAGGCAGCAGUGGGGAAUUUUGGACAAUGGGGGCAGCCCUGAUCCAGCCAUUCCGCGUGAGUGAAGAAGGCCUUCGGGUUGUAAAGCUCUUUUGUCCGGAACGAAACGGUGCUCGUGAAUAUCGAGCGCUACUGACGGUACCGGAAGAAUAAGCACCGGCUAACUACGUGCCAGCAGCCGCAGUAACAC